ensembl:snRNA U1 U1 spliceosomal RNA
AAAUUUACCUGGCAGGGGAGAUAACAUGGUCACGAAGGUGGUUUUCCCAGAGUGAGGCUUAUUCCAUUGCACUCCGGAUGUGCUGACCCCUGAGAUUUCCCCAAAUGUGGGACACUUGACUGCAUAAUUUGUGGUGGGGGGAGGUGGAGAAAAAAGUUAAAGUAGAACCUUGAGGAACACUAUCCUU